CGGAACGUCAAGAAAUGCUAUCAUUGACCAUCCCGGUGAAGGACUGGAGGAAGCCACUCACUGUGGAAGUGGACGCUGUGCUUCUUGCGAUUCUGUCUGUGGUUGAGAAGACUCAGACACUCACCAGUUAUAUAUGGCUGACAUUGAGCUGGAAAAAUGAGUUUGUGAAUUGGGACCCAAAACUGUUUUGUAAUAUUAGUUAUAUUACGCUCCCUG